UGGAGGGCAAGUCUGGUGCCAGCAGCCGCGGUAAUUCCAGCUCCAAUAGCGUACAUUAAAGUUGUUGCAGUUAAAAAGCUCGUAGUUGAAUUUCGGGGUUCAUACGUUGGUCGGGCUUUUUGGUCUGUACUUAUGUAAUGGAUUCCUACCUUCUGAAUAACCGGCAUGUCAUUAAUUUGGUGCGCCGGGGAAGCAGGACUGUUACCUUGAAAAAAUUAGAGUGCUUAAAGCAGGCUAUCGCCUGAAUACAUUAGCAUGGAAUAAUGAAAUAGGACGGCAUGGUUCUAUUUUGUUGGUUUCUAGGAUCACCGUAAUGAUUAAUAGGGAUAGUUGGGGGCAUUAGUAUUCAAUUGUCAGAGGUGAAAUUCUUGGAUUUAUUGAAGACUAACUUCUGCGAAAGCAUUUGCCAAGGAUGUUUUCAUUAAUCAAGAACGAAAGUUAGGGGAUCGAAGACGAUCAUAUACCGUCGUAGUCUUAACCAUAAACUAUGCCGACUAGGGAUCGGACGAUGUUAAUUUUUUAAUGACUCGUUCGGCGCCUUACGGGAAAC
rnacentral:rRNA from 1 species